UACGGGGGGAGCAAGCGUUGUUCGGAAUUACUGGGCGUAAAGGGUGUCUAGGCGGCCUUGUAAGUCGGGGGUGAAAUCCACUGGCUCAACCAGUGACGUGCCUUCGAAACUGCUAGGCUUGAGUAUGGCAGAGGAGAGCGGAAUUCCAGGUGUAGCGGUGAAAUGCGUAGAUAUCUGGAGGAAUACCGGUGGCGAAGGCGGCAUCCUGGACCGGCAUUGACGCUGAGGAGCGAAAGCCAGGGGAGCAAACGGG
rnacentral:rRNA from 1 species